CUGUAUAAAUGAAAAAAAUCUCAGACACUCACUGUGAUCACUUCCAGGCAGUUUAUUGCAACGUUUCGACCUGAAACCAGGUAUUUAUCAAGCUUGAUAAAAACCUGGUUUCAGGUUGAAACAUUGCAAUAAACUGCCUGGUAGUGAUCACAGUGAGUGCCUGAGAUUUUUUUCAUUUAUUCUU